rnacentral:sRNA from 1 species
CAAUGUAGGCAAAAUUUGAAUCAUCAUAGGCCUU